rnacentral:rRNA from 1 species
GACGAACCGAGCGAACGUUGUUCGGAAUCACUGGGCUUAAAGGGCGCGUAGGCGGGUACUCAAGUCUGUGGUGAAAUCCUCCGGCUCAACCGGAGAACUGCCAUGGAUACUGGGUGUCUCGAGGGUGGUAGGGGUAUGCGGAACUAUCGGUGGAGCGGUGAAAUGCGUUGAUAUCGAUAGGAACUCCGGUGGCGAAGGCGGCAUACUGGACCACUUCUGACGCUGAGGCGCGAAAGCGUGGGGAGCAAACAGG